rnacentral:rRNA from 1 species
AUUGAACGCUGGCGGCAUGCUUUACACAUGCAAGUCGAACGGCAGCGCGGGCUUCGGCCUGGCGGCGAGUGGCGAACGGGUGAGUAAUGCAUCGGAACGUGCCCAGUAGUGGGGGAUAGCCCGGCGAAAGCCGGAUUAAUACCGCAUACGACCUGAGGGUGAAAGCGGGGGACCGAAAGGCCUCGCGCUAUUGGAGCGGCCGAUGCCGGAUUAGCUAGUUGGUGGGGUAAAGGCUUACCAAGGCGACGAUCCGUAGCUGGUCUGAGAGGACGACCAGCCACACUGGGACUGAGACACGGCCCAGACUCCUACGGGAGGCAGCAGUGGGGAAUUUUGGACAAUGGGGGCAACCCUGAUCCAGCCAUGCCGCGUGCGGGAAGAAGGCCUUCGGGUUGUAAACCGCUUUUGUUCGGGAAGAAAUCCUCUGGGCUAAUACCCCGGGGGAUGACGGUACCGGAAGAAUAAGCACCGGCUAACUACGUG